rnacentral:rRNA from 1 species
AACGAACGCUGGCGGCAUGCCUAAUACAUGCAAGUCGAACGAGAUCUUCGGAUCUAGUGGCGCACGGGUGCGUACCGCGUGGGAAUCCGCCCUUGGGUUCGGAAUAACUUCUGGAAACGGAAGCUAAUACCGGAUGAUGACGUAAGUCCAAAGAUUUAUCGCCCAAGGAUGAGCCCGCGUAGGAUUAGCUAGUUGGUGGGGUAAAGGCCCACCAAGGCGACGAUCCUUAGCUGGUCUGAGAGGAUGAUCAGCCACACUGGGACUGAGACACGGCCCAGACUCCUACGGGAGGCAGCAGUAGGGAAUAUUGGACAAUGGGGGAAACCCUGAUCCAGCAAUGCCGCGUGAGUGAUGAAGGCCUUAGGGUUGUAAAGCUCUUUUACCCGGGAUGAUAAUGACAGUACCGGGAGAAUAAGCUCCGGCUAACUCCGUG